AAGACCUUACGCUUUUGGAGCGGCCGAUGUCUGAUUAGCUUGUUGGUGAGGUAAAGGCUUACCAAGGCUUCGAUCAGUAGCUGGUCUGAGAGGACGACCAGCCACACUGGGACUGAGACACGGCCCAGACUCCUACGGGAGGCAGCAGUGGGGAAUUUUGGACAAUGGGGGCAACCCUGAUCCAGCCAUGCCGCGUGAGUGAAGAAGGCCUUCGGGUUGUAAAGCUCUUUCAGCCGGAACGAAACGGUUACGGUUAAUACCCGUGACUACUGACGGUACCGGAAGAAGAAGCACCGGCUAACUACGUGCCAGCAGCCGCGGUAAUACGUAGGGUGCAAGCGUUAAUCGGAAUUACUGGGCGUAAAGCGUGCGCAGGUGGUUUUGUAAGUCAGAUGUGAAMUCCCCGGGCUUAGCCUGGGAACU
rnacentral:rRNA from 1 species